rnacentral:lncRNA from 1 species
AUUCAUAAGCACACCUAUGUGUUUGAGAGUCUGUGCGUUCUGAUCUGAAAAUAAUGCAGUUUUUGUGUUUUCUCUAGGGCUAUUGGCUUACUGUGAGGAGAAACCAAGAUGGCUUUUGCCCUCAGGAUUUUUAACCUAGUCACAAGCUGAGCUGGAAUGACAGAGCCCUGAGAGUUUUGCCUUUGGGCGUGCUCUGCCUCAGUCUGUCCUGUCAGGUCCCUGGUGAUUUUUUCUGACCUUGAAAGGUUGAGGAGAGCUCACAGUGAUCUAUAUCUGGGGGAUGAUUUCUGAGUUCGAGUAUACAGACAAUGAAAUAGUGAUUACCAUUGAUGGAAGAGGAGAGGAAGGGAAGUGGGAACAGGCGGGUCAAAAGGAAGAUCUUGCCAGUAUACAUGUGGAGAAAAGAUGAUGGCCGUUGGACGAAGCUGUUGAUGCCCACCCUCCAGCUUUAUUUGUCAUGA